CUCUCUUUUUCCAAUCACAAUAAAUCUGAAAUUUGACCUAAUGGUUGGAUCUCCUCUUCGUCUUUUGAUGUGGCUGUUGGAAUACUUAUGGAGGUAGCGUCCGAUUGAUUAACCUGAUGAGAGCCACCUCCUUAUCAUCUGUCGACCAUCCACAUCAAUCAUUAUCUCACACCUUGUUCAACAUAUCAUCUUUGUUGUUGUUGCUGCCACUACAAUGAAGGGGGAGAAUAUUUUAUCUGAUGAAUCAUGAUAGGCUUUCUAAGCAAGUGGUGCCAACCAAGUGACGAGGAGCAAGUUAGGCCAAGCACUUCAGGGCUGUCAACUCUUGAAUCAUUCUAUGCAGGACUGGAGAACAUAUUCUUGGUUCAUCAAUUUAGGGUUUAGGAGAUGAAAACCUGAUGUACUUCAUCCAAAUCAUUUCCUGUAUACCUGGAGAGGCAUUAACAUCAUACAAUGGGGGAAUGAGGAUUUACAUUAGAAGUUCAAAUUAGACUAAGAGGACCAAUGGCUGAAAGCAGAUAUGAA